GGGCCCGCACAAGCGGUGGAGCAUGUGGUUUAAUUCGAUGAUACGCGAGGAACCUUACCAGGGCUUAAAUGUAGUGGGACAGGUCUAGAGAUAGACCCUUCUUCGGACUCAUUACAAGGUGCUGCAUGGUUGUCGUCAGCUCGUGCCGUGAGGUGUCAGGUUAAGUCCUAUAACGAGCGCAACCCCUAUCGUUAGUUGCCAGCGGGUCAUGCCGGGAACUCUAGCGAAACUGCCGGUGCAAACCGAGAGGAAGGUGGGGAUGACGUCAAAUCAUCACGGCCCUUACGUCCUGGCCACACACGUGCUACAAUGGCCGGUACAGAGAGCAGCCACUACGCGAGUAGGAGCGAA
rnacentral:rRNA from 1 species